rnacentral:rRNA from 1 species
GACGUAGGGCGCGAGCGUUGUCCGGAUUUAUUGGGCGUAAAGAGCUCGUAGGCGGCUUGUUGCGUCGACCGUGAAAACCCGCGGCUUAACUGUGGGCUUGCGGUCGAUACGGGCGGGCUGGAGUUCGGUAGGGGAGACUGGAAUUCCUGGUGUAGCGGUGAAAUGCGCAGAUAUCAGGAGGAACACCGGUGGCGAAGGCGGGUCUCUGGGCCGAUACUGACGCUGAGGAGCGAAAGCGUGGGGAGCGAACAGG